rnacentral:rRNA from 1 species
AUUGAACGCUGGCGGCAGGCUUAACACAUGCAAGUCGAGCGAGCGGCGGACGGGUGAGUAAUGUCUGGGAAACUGCCUGAUGGAGGGGGAUAACUACUGGAAACGGUAGCUAAUACCGCAUACCAUCAGAUGUGCACAGAUGGGAUUAGCUAGUAGUUGGGGUAAUGGCUCACCUAGGCGAAGAUCCCUAGCUGGUCUGAGAGGAUGACCGGCCACACGGGAACGGAGACACGGUCCAGACGCCUACGGUACGCAGCAGUGGGGAAUAUUGCACAAGGGGCGCAAGCCUGAUGCAGCCAUGCCGCGUGUGUGAAGAAGGCCUUCGGUUUGUAAUGCACUUUCAGCGAGGGGGCGUUACUCGCAGAAGAAGCACCGGCUAACUCCGUGCCAGCAGCCGCGGUAAUUC